GAUGAACGCUGGCGGCGUGCCUAAUACAUGAAAGUCAAACGGAGUUGUUGUAGCAAUACGGCAACUCUGUGGCGAACGGGUGAGUAACGCGUUGGUGACCUGCCCCGAAGAGAGGGAUAACAGUCCGAAAGGAUUGCUACUACCUCAUGCGGUUAUCGGUUCUAGAAUACGGCAACUAAAGUCGUAAGACACGUUGGGGUGGACGUGCGUCCCAUCGGCGAGUUGGUAAGGUAACGGCUUACCAAGGCGACGACGGGUAGGGGACCUGAGAGGGUGGACCCCCACAAUGGCACUGAAACACGGGCCAUAUGCCAACGGGUGGCAGCAGUACGGAAUAUUGCUUAAUGUGCGAAAGCGCGAAGCAGCAACGCCUCGUGUGCGAUGAAGGCCUUCGGGUCGUAAAGCACUUUUUAGAGGGAUGAGAAAGGACAGUACCUCUAGAAUAAGCCUCGGCUAACUACGUGCCAGCAGCCGCCGUAAUAC
rnacentral:rRNA from 1 species